rnacentral:rRNA from 1 species
UACGGGGGGGGCAAGCGGUUGUUCGGAAUUACUGGGCGUAAAGGGCUUGUAGGUGGCCAACUAAGUCAGACGUGAAAUCCCACGGCUUAACCGAGGAACUGCGUCUGAUACUGGAUGGCUUGAGUGUGGGAGAGGGAUGCGGAAUUCCAGGUGUAGCGGUGAAACGCGUAGAUAUCUGGAGGAACACCGGUGGCGAAGGCGGCAUCCUGGACCAUGACUGACACUGAAAAGCGAAAGCCAGGGAGCAAACGGG